rnacentral:rRNA from 1 species
UACGUAGGGUGCAAGCGUUGUCCGGAAUUAUUGGGCGUAAAGAGCGUGUAGGCGGCUUUGCAAGUCCGUUGUGAAAACUCGAGGCUCAACCUCGAGACGCCGGUGGAAACUGCAAAGCUAGAGUCCGGAAGAGGAGAGUGGAAUUCCUGGUGUAGCGGUGAAAUGCGCAGAUAUCAGGAAGAACACCCGUGGCGAAGGCGGCUCUCUGGGACGGUACUGACGCUGAGACGCGAAAGCGUGGGGAGCGAACAGG